CACUAAGCGGAGGAGAAGAAACUAACCAGGAUGCCCCUAGUAAUGGCGAAUGAAGCGGGCGUAGCUCACGCUGCCAAUCUGGAGGCCGACUCUUGCGUGUCUCCCGAAUUGUGGUCUAGGAAGGCGCCAUCGGCCGCGCGCGUCGCCGAAAUCCCUUGGAAGAGGGUAUCGGAGAAGGUGAGAAUCCUGUGCCGUGGCGCGUCGCGGCCUCACGAUGCGUCCUUGUCGAGUCGGGUUGCUUGGGAUUGCAGCUUGAAGUGGGUGGUAAAUUCCAUCUAAAGCUAAAUAGUGGCGAGAGACCGAUAGCGAACAAGUACCGUGAGGGAAAGAUGCAAAGAACUUUGAAAAGAGAGUCAAAGAGUGCUUGAAAUUGGCAGGAGGAAACCCGGUUGCGCCCGGCGUCGGCGCGUCGACUCAGCCGUGUGCGGGCUUGUCCUGUGCGGACCGCAAGGCCGCUUUGGGUUGGUUUGUGUGCGGUGCACUUCGACGCGCCGGGUCAGCUUUCGCUGCGCGUUGCGAGAGAUGCCGUUGGGUGAGGCCUUGGCGAUCCCAUUCGGAGCGUCGCGAGUGCGGCGUGUUUGAGCUGACGGAACGGGCGCCACCGACCCGUCUAGAAACACGGACCAAGGAGUCUGACACGUGUGCGAGUACCCGGGUGUGGAAUGCCCGCGUGCGGAAUGAAAGUGAAGGGCAUGCCCUGCCAACCGACCUUGAGCUGCUGCGAAGGGUUUGAGUGGAGCACGUGUGUCGGGACCCGAAAGAUGGUGAACUAUGCCUGAGGAGGGUGAAGCCAGAGGAAACUCUGGUGGAGGCUCGUAGCGAUACUGACGUGCAAAUCGUUCGUCGAACUUGG
rnacentral:rRNA from 1 species